CAGAUGCUGGGGCUGUGCGCUCUCGCUCCCCUGCAGAUGCAGAUGCUGGGGCUGUGCGCUCUCGCUCCCGGGUAGAUGCUGGGGCUUGCGCUCUCGCUCCACUGUAGACGCUGGGGCUGUGCGCUCUCGCUCCCAGGUAGAUGCUGGGGCUGUGCGCUCACGCUCCCGGGUAGAUGCUGGGGCUGUGCGCUCUCGCUCCCCUACAGAUGCAGGUGCUGGGGCUGUGCGCUCUCGCUCCCCUGUAGAUGCCAGCGGCUACUUCCUAUCGCGCUUUCUCGGAUCAACGACCAGGGNUGGGGCUGUGCGCUCUCGCUCCCCUGCAGAUGCAGGUGCUGGGGCUGUGCGCUCUCGCUCCCCUGCAGAUGCCAGCGGCUACUUCCUAUCGCGCUUUCUCGAAUCAACGACCAGGCGGUUGUAAGCACCGAGAGCAGCCCGAGGCCACAGGGCCCCCUUCCCUGCGCGGUCCUGGGCCCUGCACACCGCGAACCCCACCGUGGCCCCGCCGCGCCCCCGCGCCCCGUCUCGGUGCUGCCGGCGGUGGAGAGGCCCGUGGUUGCGGCUGGAGCCUGCAGCUCCGCCGGCGCCUCCCGGGGCCCGGGCCUCCCCCUCCUCCCGCCAGCGGCUGCGGCCGCCCGUCCGCUGACCCGGGGGCACGUCGCCCGGAUCAAGGGCUCACCGGGCGGCACGGGGCCGUUCUCCGAUUCCACCGGCCCUGCGCUCGUGGCGAACGGCAGCCCCGCAGCCGCCGGGCACGCGCUCAACGGCCUGUCUGUAAUCACGCGUGUCCCGGGCCCACGCGGGCUCCGGCAGGGCCAGGCGACACGGCCAGCGCCCCGCCCGGCCGCUAAGCGGCGGUGUCCGCGGCCCCGGCAGAG
rnacentral:lncRNA from 1 species